CCUACGGGUGGCAGCAGUGAGGAAUCUUGCGCAAUGGGGGCAACCCUGACGCAGCAACGCCGCGUGGGUGAAGAAGGUCUUCGGAUUGUAAAGCCCUGUUGAGCGGGAAGAAUAGCCUCUGGGUGAACAGCCUGGAGGUAUGACGGUACCGCUUGAGGAAGCACCGGCUAACUCCGUGCCAGCAGCCGCGGUAAUACGGAGGGUGCAAGCGUUAUUCGGAAUUAUUGGGCGUAAAGGGCGUGUAGGCGGCCAGAUAAGUCAGAGGUGAAAGCCGGGGGCUCAACCCCGGAAGUGCCUUUGAAACUAUCUGGCUUGAGUGCGGGAGAGGAAAGCGAAAUUCCCAGUGUAGAGGUGAAAUGCGUAGAUAUCGGGAGGAACACCAGAGGCGAAGGCGGCUCUCUAUGCUACUCCUGACGCUGAGGCACGAAAGCUAGGGGAGCAAACGGGAUUAGAUCCCCCUGUAGU
rnacentral:rRNA from 1 species